rnacentral:rRNA from 1 species
UACGGAGGGUGCAAGCGUUAUCCGGAUUUACUGGGUUUAAAGGGUGCGUAGGUGGGCAGGUAAGUCAGUGGUGAAAUCUCCGGGCUUAACUCGGAAACUGCCAUUGAUACUAUUUGUCUUGAAUAUCCUGGAGGUAAGCGGAAUAUGUCAUGUAGCGGUGAAAUGCUUAGAUAUGACAUAGAACACCCAUUGCGAAGGCAGCUUACUACGGGAUUAUUGACACUGAGGCACGAAAGCGUGGGGAUCAAACAGG